GACGAACGCUGGCGGCGUGCCUAACACAUGCAAGUCGUGCGGUCUCGCCUUAAAGCGAAAGGCCUUCGGGCUUUGAAGCGAAAGGCGAGAUAGCGGCGGACGGGUGAGUAACGCGUGGCUUAUCUGUCCCAGGGAGGGGGAUAACGUCUGGAAACGGGCGCUAAUACCCCAUAUGCCUAAAAGGUGAAAAGGAGAGAUCCGCCCUGGGGUGAGGCCGCGUCCUAUCAGCUCGUUGGUGAGGUAACGGCCCACCAAGGCUAUGACGGGUAGCCGGCCUGAGAGGGCGGCUGGCCACACUGGGAUUGAGAUACGGCCCAGACUCCUACGGGAGGCAGCAGUGGGGAAUAUUGGGCAAUGGGGGAAACCCUGACCCAGCGACGCCGCGUGGAGGAAGGAGCCCUUCGGGGUGUAAACUCCUGUUGUAAGGGAAGAGAAUCUGACGGUACCUUACGAGGAAGCCCCGGCAAACUACGUGCCAGCAGGCCGCGGUAAAUGUACUCUAU
rnacentral:rRNA from 1 species